GAUGAACGCUGGCGGCGUGCUUAACACAUGCAAGUCGAACGGUAAGGCCCUGCUUGUGGGGUGGGCUAGUGGGGAACGGGGGUGUGACACGCGAGUAUCCCGCCCCUUAGUCUGGGGUAUGCCUGCAGGACUCGGGGGCUUACACGGGAGAGGCGCUCACGCCGCGGGGUGUGGGGUGGAGAGUUUCGGCGGUUGGGGAUGGUCUCGCGGCAUAUCAGCUUGUUGGUGGGGUAGUGGCUCACCAAGGCUAUGACGGGUAGCCGGCCUGAGAGGGUGACCGGCCACACUGGGACUGAGACACGGCCCAGACUCCUACGGGAAGCAGCAGUGGGGAAUAUUGCACAAUGGGCGCAAGCCUGAUGCAGCGACGCCGCGUGCGGGAUGACGGCCUUCGGGUUGUAAACCGCUUUCGGUAGGGAAGAAGCGAGAGUGACGGUACCUGCAGAAGAAGCACCGGCUAACUACGUG
rnacentral:rRNA from 1 species